rnacentral:rRNA from 1 species
UACGUAGGGUGCAAGCGUUGUCCGGAAUUAUUGGGCGUAAAGAGCUCGUAGGCGGCUUGUCGCGUCGCUGUGAAAACCUGGGGCUCAACCCCGGGCCUGCAGCCGAUACGGGCAGACUAGAGGUAUGCAGGGGAGAAUGGAAUUCCUGGUGUAGCGGUGAAAAUGCGCAGAUAUCAGGAGGAACACCAUGGCGAAGGCAGCUCGCUGGGACGGUACUGACGCUGAGACGCGAAAGCGUGGGGAGCAAACAGG